UAGACCAGUUAUCAAGUAUGUUGUACAUUGCCAACACUAUUCUCCGUAAAAUCGUAUCGUUGAAGAAAAGUGUUGGCAAUUAUGAUUUAAUGACUCCUAUUUCCUGAAUUACAGAAUAUUUCGUUUGCCCUUUAUAUGUUGUACGCAUGCAUGCAGGUUUUAUCACACAUGUUGCACAGCGGUAGGUAACUUCUUACGCAGUGUUAACAGUUCAACCUAUAUGGAGUAUAGUCAAAGACAAAGUAAUUUAAGGAAUGAGAAAGGACAAACAAUUAGAACUACAAAUGCAAAAUACCAUAUAAAUAUACCAACCAUACACAACCAUAGCUAAAGGCAAAGUUCGACGGCGAAAUAUGCAACUCAACAAGUUGGUGAGGAGGAAAUAUCCUACAGCUAUUACGAAAGGGCAUUGUUGAUCCUAUAAACCACCAGAAAACUUCAUUCGAGUUUUACAUUAUUUUAUGAUAUAUGAUCCUUCUGACGUCUCCAUCAUGCGAGAUUCCUCUCCGAUCCAUAAGUUCAUCGCGAGUUCUGAAAAGGUUGUGAAUGAAAAGGAUCAAGAAAGAACACUGAACAAGAAAGUUACAAACAUGACCGAAACGUUUUCUCCUGUGUGGACGAGGGCGAUAAACCUAAGUAAUGAACUAUUCAGAUACGUACACUCCCUGUGGUGUAUUACCAGUGGAAUGCUGAAAUUGGAAUAUUUCAUGAUUGCUAUGGAGCUCAGUCGAGUUAUCAAGUUGUUAGCUAAACUGCAGUUGUCAAUCAAAAUAGCAAAAUGGACACUUUUCUAUAACCUCUGAAAAAGGGAUUGUAGGAUUAUUAAACACGUGCAUGUUUUAGUAUACGUGCUUAUACACUAUAUUAUAAUUAAAUAUUAAUUAAAAUAUAUAUAUUUCGUAUGUUUAUUUGCAGUUUUGACUUCUCGUCUUAGGAUGAAGUGUAAUAAGACAUCAGUAGUUAUAUAUAAGUUAAUAUUUUUUCCCUCUCUAUAUAUUGAGAUAUCCGAGUUAAUCAUAUCCUAAUCCUUCAAAAGUCAUGUAUGGAAAUUAUUUUUUGCAAGG